rnacentral:rRNA from 1 species
UACGUAGGGUGCGAGCGUUGUCCGGAAUUACUGGGCGUAAAGAGUUCGUAGGCGGUUUGUCGCGUCGUUUGUGAAAACCCGGGGCUCAACUUCGGGCAUGCAGGCGAUACGGGCAGACUUGAGUGUUUCAGGGAAGAAUGGAAUUCCCGGUGUAGCGGUGAAAUGCGCAGAUAUCAGGAAGAACACCCGUGGCUAAGGCGGCUCUCUAGUACGGUACUGACGCUGAGACGCGAAAGCGUGGGGAGCGAACAGG